rnacentral:rRNA from 1 species
UCGGACGGGGUGGUAACGCGUGAGAAUCUGCCCUCAGGAGGGGGAUAACGGCUGGAAACGGCCGCUAAUACCCCAUAUGCCGCGAGGUGAAAUGAGUUUCGCCUGAGGAUGAGCUCGCGUCUGAUUAGCUAGUUGGUGGGGUAAAGGCCUACCAAGGCAUCGAUCAGUAGCUGGUCUGAGAGGAUGAUCAGCCACACUGGGACUGAGACACGGCCCAGACUCUUACGGGAGGCAGCAGUGGGGAAUUUUCCGCAAUGGGCGAAAGCCUGACGGAGCAACGCCGCGUGAGGGAUGAAGGCCUCUGGGCUGUAAACCUCUUUUAUCAAGGAAGAAGAUCUGACGGUACUUGAUGAAUAAGCCACGGCUAAUUCCGUGCCAGCAGCCGCGGUAAUACGGGAGUGGCAAGCGUUAUCCGGAAUUAUUGGGCGUAAAGCGUCCGCAGGCGGUUUUGUAAGUCUGUCGUUAAAGCGUGGAGCUUAACUCCAUUUAAGCGAUGGAAACUGCAAGACUAGAGUGUGGUAGGGGCAGAGGGAAUUCCCGGUGUAGCGGUGAAAUGCGUAGAUAUCGGGAAGAACACCAGGGCGAAGGCGCUCUGCUGGCC